rnacentral:rRNA from 1 species
CACCGGCAGCCCGAGUGGUGGCCGUUAUUAUUGGGCCUAAAGCGUCCGUAGCUGGCCGCGCAAGUUCGUCGGGAAAUCCACUCGCUUAACGAGUGGGCGUCCGGCGAAAACUGUGCGGCUUGGGACCGGAAGAUCCAAGGGGUACGUCCGGGGUAGGAGUGAAAUCCCGUAAUCCUGGACGGACCACCGAUGGCGAAAGCACCUUGGAAGGACGGAUUCGACAGUGAGGGAGGAAAGCUGGGGUCUCGAACCGG